rnacentral:rRNA from 1 species
CUACGGGGCGCAGCAGUGGGGAAUAUUGCGCAAUGGGCGAAAGCCUGACGCAGCAACGCCGCGUGAGGGAGGAAGGUUUUCGGAUUGUAAACCUCUGUCAAUGUGGAAGAACGGACAUUGGUCUAAUAGGCCAGUGUUUUGACGGUACACAUAAAGGAAGCACCGGCUAACUUCGUGCCAGCAGCCGCGGUAAUACGAAGGGUGCAAACGUUGUUCGGAUUUAUUGGGCGUAAAGCGCGCGCAGGCGGAAUGGUAAGUCAGAUGUGAAAUCUCGGGGCUCAACCCCGAAACCGUGUCUGAAACUACUUUUCUCGAAUCAUGCAGGGGAAGGCGGAAUUUCACAUGUAGGGGUAAAAUCCGUAGAGAUGUGAAGGAACACCAGAGGCGAAGGCGGCCUUCUGGGCAUGUAUUGACGCUGAGGCGCGAAAGCGUGGGGAGCAAACAGGAUUAGAUACCCCCGUAGUC